AAUCCGCAGAAUGCUAAACCAACUCGAGGCUCUAUACUUAUUUCCUCGUUCCUUGAUUUUUCUUUUCUUUUCUUCAGCAUGAGGAAGUUCCCCCGGCACCGGGGAUCGAAUCCAAGCUGCAUCAGCGAUGAAGCCCAAUCCUUAAUCUGCUGAACCACCAGGAAACCUCAUCUUUGAUCUUUCUAAACAAGGUCAGAUCUGCAGCCCUGACCAAUCAUGCCCUGUCUCCAGGUUGCCGCUUCUAAUACUCCAAACAACUUGCUCCUUGCUCAGGCUUAAAUUCCCUCGGGAAGGGUGCACCACUACUUCUGAGUUUAUCCUCCUCACUCCCCCGCCCCGCCCCAGUCCAUGGAUUGUUUUCUCUUGAAUAUAGGACAUCAAACUCAUGACAGAUACGUGUCCUUCUGUCAGUACACAGGAGGAAGCUGUUGCUGGAACUCCAGGAGAGCCAGAGCCAGGAAAGCUGCCCAACUCUGCCCUGAGCAGGAGCUGGGUCCUUAGUAGAGGAAUUCAGCCCCCUGCCAGCACGAGGGAGCAGAGAGAGCACCUACCAGGAGUGGAUUCUCCUCCCAGGGGCUGAACCCAGCUGGAAGCCAGAGGGCAAGGGGAGCAUGGACAUGUCAUUCAUCCUUAACGGUCAGCAGAGAAGUGUGGAGAAUGGAUGCAGAGGGCCAGGUGGAGAGGGACCCACACAUUCACUUAACAUCAUGAUGUUCCUCCCUCUGCGAUGCCUCUCGGCACCCCUGAAACUCUCAGAAGAAAGGCUUGCUCCUCUUGAGCAGCCACAGGAAAGAUUUAUACAGCUUCAGCCUGAUCCCUGACAAUGGAAUGCCAAUAAAUUUUCUUUUUAAAUGGGCCACUAAAAACCCCCAGUGGUGUUUUCUCAUCCCUUUAUAGCAGCUUUAAGGGAAAGUGUAAUUCUUUAAGGAAUUGCUUAGAAUCAUUUCCCCAUAUGGAAACAAGUUCUAGAUCUCUUAUCCACCUGAAUCUUUUCCUACCUCUGUGCAAUAAAAUAUGUUGGGGGGAUAUUUUUUUUUUCCCCACUAGUAACCCUGUAGGUAGGACAUCAUGGCCCACAGAGCACUCACAGUUGAAGAUUUCCAGACACUGGCUGGAAUAUUCAGAGAAUGGGAGGUGGUUGUGAUAACCAGGAACCACCCGCACAUCUUUCCGCAGCAGCACCAGAGAGGCCUGUGGUUUUGACACUAGACCUUCUCAUGAAGAGGGAGCUCUCUGGGAUCCUAAAAC
rnacentral:lncRNA from 9 species